rnacentral:lncRNA from 1 species
GAAACAUCUCUCAGAGAAAGAAGAAAACCUUUAGAGUGUCACCAGUGCAGGAGGACAGGAUUUUACUCUGAACAGUUGAAAGAAUAAAGAAUGCAUCCAAUGCAAAGAUUUAUGCAAGAGGCAGCAUUAGCUUGCAAUUGUGAAAUCAGGAUACUGGGCUUAUUUCAGCUCCUGCCCCAAAUACACACUGUGAUCACUUUAUCUUUCUUCAUCCCUUUAUCUUGCAAUUAAAUUGGAAAUGCUUUGUUGCAGGCAUUGAACUCUGUACAGCUCCAAAUAAAAUCAAGACUCAAGUCAGGAAGAGUGCCAUCGAAAAUAUUUGGGCUCUGUAUCAGCAGAGGUUUGAUUCCAUUAUUCAUCUUGGAAAAGGAAGACAACUUUGGUCCUCUAGUCAGAUUGAUUCCCAUGAUCCAUCAGGUUCUCUGGCACUAUCCCUCGCUGAAAGUGAUUAUUGUAAGAUCCAAGCUCCUAAGGAAGUCCCUGAGGUAGGUGUUAAACAUUCUGGGCAGAGUUAUAAACACAAAAGCAGCCAAUGCCUUAACACAAGAAAGUAUUUUACCAAAGAUGAAGCAGACAGAUAA